AUCGAUGCCAAACCCUUAAGGUAAGUUUGAAAUUAAGUAAUCUACGCCACUGCAUGUGAUUUUCAUUUGAUUUUCAAUGUUCAACGCGGAUUUUAUUCGACACCACGAUGUUUGAUUUACUAACAUUCAUCUACUAUCUGUGUUUGUUCAUGGAUUUGGGGUUUUUGAUGAUUCUCGACUGUUACAACUUGCGUUUCUGUUGAUUAUCUUCUUGGAUUGGUUGAGCAGAGCCACAAACUGGGCUAAAUUCGGUGCAACAGCCGGGUUAGGUGUACCAAUGUGAAGGUGGUUCAGCAUGGUGCUUGCUUAGGCCUUGGCUUGGCAGCUUUAAGGACCGCUGAUGAAGAUAUAUACGAUGAGAUAAAAAGUGUCCUCUACAAUGACAGUGCUGUUGCAGGUGAAGCUGCGGGCAUUAGCAUAGGCUUACUAAUGGUGGGGACUGCAAGUGAGAAGGCAUCAGAGAUGCUGGUAUAUGCUCAUGAGAUGCAACAUGAAUAAAUCAU